AAUCGGACUCAACGCCGGGAAACUCACCAGUUAAGACAGCUGAAUGAUAGUCGGGCUGAAGACUCUACUUGACUAGCUGAGAGGAGGUGCAUGGCCGUCGUCAGUUCGUACUGUGAAGCAUCCUGUUAAGUCAGGCAACGAGCGAGACCCACGCCAACAGUUGCCAGCUCGUCCUCCGGGAUGGAGGGGACACUGUUGGGACCGCCUCUGCUAAAGAGGAGGAAGGAAUGGGCAACGGUAGGUCAGCAUGCCCCGAAUUAAUUGGGCUACACGCGGGCUACAAUGGGUGGGACAAUGGGUAUCGACACCGAAAGGUGAAGGCAAUCUCCUAAACCCAUCCGUAGUUCGGAUUGUGGGCUGCAACUCGCCCACAUGAAGCUGGAAUCUGUAGUAAUCGUGUUUCAAAAUAGCACGGUGAAUAUGUCCCUGCUCCUU
rnacentral:rRNA from 1 species